rnacentral:rRNA from 1 species
UAUUAUAUUAUAUGUAAAUGUAUGUAAGUCUGAGUAGUAGUAGAUAGGUUCUUGAAACUUAAAGAAUUUGGCGGUGUUUUAGUCCUUUCAGAGGAAUCUGUUCUGUAAUUGAUAGUACACGAUUUUAUUUUACUUUCUUUAAUUAGUUUGUAUACCGCCGUCAUAARAUUAUCUUUUUGGAGAGGGGAAAAUUUCUUUAUUUUUAAUUUGGGAGUAUGUCAGGUCAAGGUGCAGCUUAUGGGGAAGAAGUGAUGGAUUACAAUAAUGUUAGUUAUGAUGGAUAGUAUAUUAAUUUUUACUUGAAGGUGGAUUUGAUUGUAAAUUUGAAUUGGAUGUCAUUUUGAUUUGGGCUCUAAAAUGUGCACACAUCGCCCGUCGCUCUCGUUAUAAUAUGAG